GGAUUGGGAGGGUUCUACGGAACCCGUUUGGUGAAUCUAGUGCCGAGAAAAGCCUUCUAUGUGUUGAAUUUCUAGUACCCGUACCCCAAACCGUCACAGGUGGGUGGGUAGAGCAUACCUAGGGGCGCGUGAUAACUCUCUCUAAGGAACUCGGCAAAAUGGCCCUGUAACUUCGGGAUAAGGGGUGCCUGCGUGAGCAGGCCGCAGUGAAAUGGCUCUGGCGACUGUUUACCAAAAACACAGGUCUCUGCUAAGUCGUAAGACGAUGUAUAGGGGCUGACUCCUGCCCAGUGCCGGAAGGUUAAGGAAGUUGGUUAGCGCAAGCGAAGCUGGCGACCGAAGCCCCGGUGAACGGCGGCCGUAACGAUAACGGUCCUAAGGUAGCGAAAUUCCUUGUCGGGUAAGUUCCGACCCGCACGAAAGGAGUAACGAUCAGAGCGCUGUCUCGGAGAGAGACACGGCGAAAUAGGAUUGUCCGUGAAGAUACGGACUACCUGCACCCGGACAGAAAGACCCUAUGAAGCUUUACUGUUACUUGGAAUUGUGUUCGGACUUUGUCUGCGCAGAAUAGGUGGGAGGCUAUGAAACGUUCCUCGCGGGGAACUGGAGCCAUCGUUGAGAUACCACUCUGGCAGAGUCUGGAUUCUAACCUACGGGGACAGUUCCAGGUGGGCAGUUUGACUGGGGCGGUCGCCUCCUAAAAUGUAACGGAGGCGCGCAAAGGUUCCCUCAGGCUGGUUGGAAAUCAGCCAUAGAGUGUAAAAGCAUAAGGGAGCUUGACUGUGAGACCUACAAGUCGAGCAGGGACGAAAGUCGGCUUUAGUGAUCCGACGGCACUGAGUGGAAGGGCCGUCGCUCAACGGAUAAAAGUUACUCUAGGAUAACAGGCUGAUCUUCCCCAAGAGUUCACAUCGACGGGGAGGUUUGGCACCUCGAUGUCGGCUCGUCGCAACCUGGGGCGGUAGUACGUCCCAAGGGUUGGGCUGUUCGCCCAUUAAAGCGGCACGUGAGCUGGGUUCAGAACGUCGUGAGACAGUUCGGUCCAUAUCCGGUGUAGGCGUAGGAGCAUUGAAAGGAUCUCUCCUUAGUACGAGAGGACCGGGAGGGACGUACCUCUGGUGUACCUGUUAUCGUGCCAACGGUAAACGCAGGGUAGCCAUGUACGGAGUGGAUAACCGCUGAAAGCAUCUAAGUGGGAAGCCCACCUUAAGAUGAGUGCUCCCUUGAGGCCACGGGAAGACGACCCGUUUGAUAGGCGCUAGGUGGAAGUGCAGUAAUGCAUGCAGCCGAGGCGUACUAAUAGGCCGAUGGC
rnacentral:rRNA from 1 species